GGGGUGUGCGCAAAAAUUUGAAUUUUAGAUUUUUAGUUCUAAGGGUUUUGGAGGAGAAAAUAAAUUAGAAAAAAAUUAUUUUCUUCUUCAUCUUUUUUUUACCUCUUCAUCUCCUCCAGAAGUCCAUCUUUAAUCUCUAAAAAAAUUUUAUAAAAUUGAAAAAAGAUCUAGAUAAGCUAAGAAUAAGGUCUUCGUGCGAGCUAGCACUCCUAAGAAGAUCUAUUAGAUCGGAGCUUUGAGUAAAUUUUUUGGAGAGACUGGAUGCAUGUGCGGCUGCAAGCAACUAGCU
rnacentral:lncRNA from 1 species